AUUGAACGCUGGCGGCAGGCCUAACACAUGCAAGUCGGGCGAGCGGCGGACGGGUGAGUAAUGUAUGGGGAUCUGCCUGAUGGCGGGGGAUAACUACUGGAAACGGUAGCUAAUACCGCAUACCAUAGGAUGAGCCCAAGUGGGAUUAGGUAGUUGGUGGGGUAAAGGCACACCAAGCCGACGAUCUCUACCUGGUCUGAGAGGAUGACCAGCCACACUGGGACUGAGACACGGCCCAGACUCCUACGGGAGGCAGCAGUGGGGAAUAUUGGGCAAUGGGGGCAACCCUGACGCAGCCAUGCCGCGUGAAUGAAGAAGGCCUUCGGGUUGUAAAGCACUUUCAGCGAGGAGGCGUUACUCGCAGAAGAAGCACCGGCUAACUCCGUGCCAGCCGCCGCGGUAAUAC
rnacentral:rRNA from 1 species